rnacentral:rRNA from 1 species
ACGAACGCUGGCGGCGUGCCUAAUACAUGCAAGUCGAGCGGACGGAUGGGAGCUUGCUCCCAGACCGUCAGCGGCGGACGGGUGAGUAACACGUGGGCAACCUGCCUGUAAGACUGGGAUAACUCCGGGAAACCGGGGCUAAUACCGGAUAACUCUUUCCCUCACAUGAGGGAAAGCUGAAAGAUGGCAUCUCGCUAUCACUUACGGAUGGGCCCGCGGCGCAUUAGCUAGUUGGUGAGGUAACGGCUCACCAAGGCGACGAUGCGUAGCCGACCUGAGAGGGUGAUCGGCCACACUGGGACUGAGACACGGCCCAGACUCCUACGGGAGGCAGCAGUAGGGAAUCUUCCGCAAUGGACGAAAGUCUGACGGAGCAACGCCGCGUGAGUGAUGAAGGUUUUCGGAUCGUAAAACUCUGUUGUCAGGGAAGAACAAGUACCGGAGUAACUGCCGGUACCUUGACGGUACCUGACCAGAAAGCCACGGCUAACUACGU